UAUGGCAUAGGAUCAGGAAACAGGAAAUCCCACAGAGAGGAGUGGCAAAGGAGAUUUUUGGGUGUGGACCAAGAGAAGUCCAGGAUACCAGUUGGGUAAAUAAAUGCCGGGAAUCCCUGUUGCAAGUGCUUGCCUCUGGAGAAGAAUAGGAGGAGACAUUCAUUAGGGGUUGGACAGAGCUGCAGGUCAGUGUAUCUCUCUGAGGACAGGAAUGAUAACUACUUCUUUGACAUCUUCAUCCGUGGCGUGCAAUG
rnacentral:lncRNA from 1 species